GAAAUAUCCAAAGCAGCACAGGCCUUCCCAAGUCUCCCUGUGUGUUGGUGGAAGAGAAGAUCGGCUGUUUGCAGGGGGUGUGGGGAGAUGGGCCUCUGAGCAAGUUCCUGUGCCCUGUUUCUCUCAACAAGGAUAACUACUUCCACCUGCCUUUGUAAUUGGUUCCUGGGACAAGAAAAGCCUCUUGACAAGCCUGGGCUGCCUCGUGUGUGUUGGAUAAAUGCUUGAAGUAUGGACUUUCUCCCCCCCUCACUCACCCGUCCCCAGGGUUCAGAGCUGAAUGCAUCAAGAAGUGCUGCUGUUGGCAUAGCAGGAGCAGAAGUUUUGCUUUUCCUCUGCUUUGUGACUCACUCACUGUGAUGAGCAAUGAAAAGAUUGGGGUCUAGACAGUCUUGGAUUAUUUCCUGCCCCAUUCUCCCACUCAGGUCAUGGAAGUUGGCAACUUCAACCACUCUUUGCACAGAGGCCUAGAGAGGGGACAAGAUUUUCUCAGUGUCUUAAGCAACUUAUAGCUGAACUGGGAUGUCAGUCCUGGUGGUCUGACUCCAAGUCCAAUGAUCAGAGUGAGAGAGUCAGAAGAGUCUGGGCUAUGGAUUCAAACUGACCUGAAUUUAAACCCAGCAUUGCCACUGGCUCACUGUGUCUCCUCCGCUUCCUCAUCCCUGAAAUGGAAAUAAUAACCACCUCACAGAACUGUGAGCAUCAGACAGGAUAAUGUACAUGGCACUCAUGCCGUCUUGGGCUUAAAACUAGAAAAGACCCAAGUGACAACUGCUGGCACUUUAAUGGGGAUAGAGAGGAAGUGUUAUUGCCCCACAAAAACGGGGAAUUUAGGUUAAGGUAAGAUACCUAGCAGGACAGGACUCUUUUUACUUGAGGGACCUUAAAACACUCCCCCAUCACUUAAGCAUAUGAAGAGAUAGGAGUCUCACUUGUUAAAGGGAGAAGUGUGAAUCAAAACUACCCUGAGUAUCAUACGUAAAUCAUACCUAAAUAAAGCUAAUUUUUAAAAAACUACCCACAGACCUACCAGAGAAUGGACUUGAGGAUACGGGGAGGGGGAAGGUUAAGCUGGGAUGAAGUGAGAGAGUGGCAUGGACAUAUAUACACUACCAAACAGAAAAUAGCUAGCUAGUGGGAAGCAGCUGCAUAGCACAGGGCGAUCAGCUCGGUGC